rnacentral:rRNA from 1 species
CCUACGGGAGGCAGCAGUGGGGAAUAUUGGACAAUGGGCGAAACCCUGAUCCAGCGACGCCGCGUGAGUGAAGAAGUAUUUCGGUACGUAAAGCUCUCUCAGCCGGGAAGAAAAUGACGGUACCUGACUAAGAAGCGCCGGCUAACUACGUGCCAGCAGCCGCGGUAAUACGUAGGGGGCAAGCGUUAUCAGGAUUUACUGGGGGUAAAGGGAGCGUAGACGGGAGCGCAGGGCUGGCGUGAAAUGCCGGGUGCCAACCCCCGAACUGCUCUGGAAACUGUGAAGCUGGAGUGCAGGAGAGGUAAGCGGAAUUCGUGGUGUAGCGGUGAAAUGCGUAGAUAUCAGGAGGAACACCGGCGGCGAAGGCGGCUUACUGGACUGUAACUGACGUUGAGGCUCGAAGGCGUGGGGAGCAAACAGGAUUAGAUACCCUUGUAGUC